UACGUAGGGGGCAAGCGUUGUCCGGAAUCAUUGGGCGUAAAGAGCGUGUAGGCGGCCCGGUAAGUCCGCUGUGAAAGUCCAGAGCUCAACCCUGGGAUGCCGGUGGAUACUGUCGGGCUCGAGUCCGGAAGAGGCGAGUGGAAUUCCUGGUGUAGCGGUGAAAUGCGCAGAUAUCAGGAGGAACACCAAUGGCGAAGGCAGCUCGCUGGGACGGUACUGACGCUGAGACGCGAAAGCGUGGGGAGCAAACAGG
rnacentral:rRNA from 1 species